GAUGGCACAGCUCCGCGCCGGGGCGCGGGAUUCGAUUGGGAAGGUCCUCGUUCGACUCGAGUCAGGCCCACUGACAGCAGGACCCGCCCACGGGUGGGGACUUGCGAGGAUGAGUAAGAGCCAGGAAGCCUCCGGCCAGCGUCCUGGCUCUUGCCCAGCCUCGCAGGCUGGAAGACACAAGGUCAAGCACUUUAAGUCAAGCACUUUAAGAAUUGAAGAGAAGAGCGCAUCAGCAAUUCAAGCGAUUGAAUUGCCAGGCAAUUUGACGGAGUCAGGUUGCCAGAUACAGACGAGAGAACGCGUCCCAGGGUGAGCGGUCCGCCGUGUGGUGGACCGGCUCACGUCAGACCGGCGCGGUCUCCGCAUGAUGUCAUAAGCGACAGAAGGCGAACGGAGGAUGCCUGGGCGUCAGGAGCCGACGAAGGACGUGGUACACUGCGAAAAGCAUCGGGGAGCCGUGUGCGGGCGACGAUCCGGUGAUGUCCGAAUGGGGAAACCCGG
rnacentral:misc_RNA from 1 species